UACAGAGGGGGCAAGCGUUAUUCGGAAUUACUGGGCGUAAAGGGCGCGUAGGCGGCCGAUCAAGUCAGGCGUGAAAUUCCCGGGCUCAACCUGGGGGCUGCGCUUGAUACUGAUUGGCUUGAAUGCGGGAGAGGAUAGUGGAAUUCCCAGUGUAGAGGUGAAAUUCGUAGAUAUUGGGAAGAACACCGGUGGCGAAGGCGGCUCUCUGGACCUGUCCUGACGCUCAGGCGCGAAAGCUAGGGGAGCAAACAGG
rnacentral:rRNA from 1 species